AUCCCUGGGUGUCCUGCUGUCCCCUCACAUGGAGAAAUCCCAGCACUCGGAGAAAGGACAGGGUCUGUAUUAUGAGAUACAUGCAGCCACUCAUCCAGCGUCCCCUCUCCCAUAGGCAACUCUGGCUGCUCCGGGCUCUCCCCAGUGUUGCUAUUUCUCUGCAGAGCUGGGAUCUCCAUUCCCCAUACUUUGCUGCUUUUUGUUUGUUUCCUGUUUCUCAAGGCAUAUAAAGCUGCAGGAAUACAGAUGGGAUUGGAUCUGCAGCGCCUAAAACAAAUGCUGGAUAAACAUUUCCAGAAUGUAUGAA
rnacentral:antisense_RNA from 1 species